rnacentral:snRNA from 1 species
CUCAUAAUUUUCCGUCAUUGA